rnacentral:rRNA from 1 species
UUCCAGGAAAAGCCUCUAAGCAUCAGGUAACAUCAAAUCGUACCCCAAACCGACACAGGUGGUCAGGUAGAGAAUACCAAGGCGCUUGAGAGAACUCGGGUGAAGGAACUAGGCAAAAUGGUGCCGUAACUUCGGGAGAAGGCACGCUGGUGUGUAGGUGAAGCCCCUGCGGGUGGAGCUGAGACCAGUCGAAGAUACCAGCUGGCUGCAACUGUUUAUUAAAAACACAGCACUGUGCAAACACGAAAGUGGACGUAUACGGUGUGACGCCUGCCCGGUGCCGGAAGGUUAAUUGAUGGGGUUAUCCGUAAGGAGAAGCUCUUGAUCGAAGCCCC